rnacentral:rRNA from 1 species
CGGGUGAGUAACACGUAGAUAACCUGCCCUGAAGUGGGGAAUAACAGCCCGAAAGGGUUGCUAAUACCGCAUAAUCUCGCUACUGACAGGUAGUGAGGAAACCCUGUAAGGGGGCUAUAGGAGGGGUCUGCGGCGGAUUAGCUAGAUGGUGGGGUAAAGGCCUACCAUGGCGACGAUCCGUAGCUGGUCUGAGAGGACGGCCAGCCACACUGGGACUGAGAUACGGCCCAG